GGAGUGGGGGAGUAACUAAGUCGAAAGACUAGCUAAUACCGCAUACGAUCUACGGAUGAAAGUGGGGGGAGUCGCAAGACCUCAUGCUCGUGGAGCGGCCGAUAUCUGAUUAGCUAGUUGGUGGGGUAAUGGCCUACCAAGGCGACGAUCCUUAGCUGGUCUAAGAGGAUGAUCAGCCACACUGGGACUGAGACACGGCCCCG
rnacentral:rRNA from 1 species